UGGCGGCCAUAGCGCCGUGGAACCACCUGAUCCCAUGCCGAACUCAGAAGUGAAACGCGGUAGCGCCGAUGGUAGUGUGGCAUUCGCCAUGUGAGAGUAGGACACUGCCAGGCA
rnacentral:rRNA from 1 species